GCGGGAGCGGGGGGCGGCAGGGGGCUCCGCCUCGCGCCCCGCCCGCGGGCAACGCCGGGGACGGGCGCUAAUGAGGGGCAACGUCCCCUUAAAAAGGAGGGGGGUACGGCGUCGCCGCUGCCCUCGUGGGCGGGCGGAAGAAUUGCCCCUGCGCUGCCCGCCGCGAGGGCAGGGCGCUCCCGCCUGCCCGGGCCGGGCCGGGGGCCUUUCCCAGCGCCCGGGAGGGGCCGCAGCGGUUCCGCCGGAGCAGUCCCUGCCGCCCGACCGCUCCCUCAGUUCCCCUUGCCUCUGGGCACGCGGAGCCGUGCCCUGCUACAGUCACCGAUUACGACGUGAUUUAAGUUUUGCUCCUGCUAUUUUUUGUUUUUGUUUUUUGGUCCCAGCUUUACAGCUUUACUGAAGGAGCUCCGCCUUAACUCGAGGAAGCGGGGACAGGGCCAGGGUGUUCUCCACUCUCAAGAGGAACGCUUCAAGACCCGGUGGUUGAAUGCUCCAUUGUAAUGCCACGUUUGUGUUCGACGGGGCGUUUUGUCCCAGCUUCUCAGGGCGGCUGCGCCCUCUGCGUACUGCACGUUUUGGAACGUACAGUAAGCACACCUGGAAGCGACCUGCGGGGAGAAAAGGACAGGAACUACGGCUUCGUCUCGCCGCAGCAGCCGCGGCUGCUGCGUUUGCAGGCUGGGGAGCGGGCGUCAGAAAGUGUUUUCCCAGGCCUGAGUGUCGCAUGCUUUCUCCAGGGCUGUCAGUGAAGAGCUGGAACGUGAACACCUGCUUCCACACACACUCUCCUGAAAAAAAAGAACGAAUUUGCACGUAGUAGUGCUGUGUCCUAAAAAGACCCCAGAACAAUUUUUCUGCAGAGCCCCGCUCUAGACAAUGCUGUGCAGUGACGCAUACAUGAGGGAUAGGCUCAUAUAUUGUUGGGGUUUUUUUCUUUUCUGUGUCUGUCAUGCUUAGAUUUGCCUUCAAGCAGUUUGUAUUCCUGAUGAGUUGCAGUUUAAACCUGCAUACAAAAUAGAUGUGGUUUAGUCGUGUCAGUUUUGAUGCCUGUAUACCAAAUCUAUAAUCUCAAAACAUACACUCAGCAAUUAAUACCCUAAUGAUGGUAGCUAAAUUAUGUAUGCUUACAGGUCUGGUUUUAAACUCUCUUUACUGCCUACGGAUAUCUGGCUAAGGCCUGCAGCUACUGAACACCUUAAGUCCUUGAUACGACAUGCCACCAAAGUUUUACCAUUGAGAUUUUGCCUUGCAAAGUGACCUUCAAGGACUGAUCCAAUGGAACAGUUAUGGUGGUGAUGAUGAUGAAGGUGGCAUCCAUCUUCUGCUGCUGCCUAAAACUCAGCUGCAAGAUGCACACAGUAGAAAUUCCACCAGUUUCUGAAAUUUGUAACCAAAAUCUGCUCCUCUAUGGUGAGUGCUAUGAUCACUACCAUCUGGAGCAGUUUGUCACAACAGAUUCUUAAUCCUUUUGAAAAAAGAUUUUGCCUAAAUGGCAAAUGCAAAAUGGGCCAAACUAUGUCCAUCCCUGUCACCUUGUUUUUGUACCACCAAAAAUAUCUAUGUGUUAAGUAUUGCAGUACUCAGCCUCCAGCCUACUUGUAUGUGUAGUUUCUGCUGUAAUUUUUAUAUUUACCAAGGUCAUAAUCAGAUUUCUAUGGGGAUUUAGACUUCUAAAUAUUGUUUAAAGAUUUCAUGAUAGAACACCUGCUUAAUUAUGAAAAUGAUGCUUCUCACAUGUCUAAAUCUUCCAUCACUAAAAGUGAUUUUAAAAAAUCAAUCAUGAGCACCGCUUACUAGACAGAGGAGCACUUCCAACUCCUCUGAAAUGGAGGACAAUCACCAUAUGCCUGGACCAAGUCUUGACAUUUAGAAGCAUGGCUGCCAAAUCUAGAAAUGCUUAAGUGGCUGUCACUGAGAGUGUGAAAGCUGUGCAGGAGCAGAACAGAACAAUUCACUCUGCAUAGUUGCAAGCAUCUUUGAAACCUGAUGGGUGUUCACAGUGGAUAUCACUAUCAAAUCCACAAAGUGGAGAAGGAUAAGUCCAGUUAUAAAAUAAAUCAUAAAUCUGAAGAAACUGAAUUCUGAAAGUGACUGCAGGAUUAAUUGUUCCCUGCAUGAGUUUGGCACUAGGUACAAAACCCCAAACCUAAAGGCAAAAGUGUACAGCUUUUUGGUCAAAGCAAUCUCUGGUCUUCUUGCACCGGUCAGUUUACCAGCAAUGUACAUUGAAGCCUCAUUGAAGUGUUUGGUCCUGCUUGCCCAUUGGUCUUAAGUGAAUUUGGGUAGCUAAGCAUUCUGUCAAGAUCCAUGAGACUCAGAAAUUUAAGAGGAAGUGUGCUAUAACUUGCCACUUUUAAAUUAUUUGAAUUAAGAUCAGAAUGUCAUUGUCAUUCUGUUUUCCUCUCUUUUGUCAUUUCUGACAUAGCUUUGAUGGAUCUUUAAAUAUGGGCUGUUUUGUAUUUAAAGUUCCUUGUUUUUUCCUUCUUUUAUGAAAAGUCUUUUAUGCUAGGUUAUGUAACCUGUACUGUUACCUCGGAAGUGGAGAAGCUAGAUUCAAAUGUUUUACACGUAUUGCUAAUGAUUUCUCAUAAGUCAAUCGACUGCAAGAAAUAUUUAGGCAGGUUUGUAUGCAGAGUAAGUGUGCUGAGUUUUGACUGGUGUAGAAAAACCCUUAGAAAAUAUCUCAGCAGAGCCAGAGGCUGCAAAAUGUCACUUCCAUUCUUUUGUCAAGAAAGGCAACUGGUUAUUUCAGUCCUAAUAGUUCAGAACUAGCCUACUUUUGUUUACAUUCAAAAUUUAGAGUCUGAAGUGAACAGAACAAUAUGUGCUUAUAUAGGUACUUAAUUGAAUAAGUGAAAAACCACUGUUUUCCACCUAAGAUUGUCUAACCCACUUUCCUGAGGCUGUUUUAUAUGUACCCCCGCAUAUUCCCUGUCUGGAAUGACUGUAGCUGAAGACCAAGACCGUUGUGCCUGGCACUGCAACUUAUUACAGUUUAUUUUGGGACCAAGUUACAAGGUCACCAUACUUUCUCAGCUGUAUACUCACACACAUACACACAGAGGCACAGACACUCAUAAAAAUAAAGUGUUAAACUGAUAAUCAGCUCAGAAUGCCCCAGAGUAAAUCUUAUAUCUCUAUACAUAUUUAAGUUCACUGUGUAACAAAUGCUCUUCUUAGCUUUCAAAAAGAUAAACUCAGUAUGGUUGUUAGUUGAAUUGAAACUAAGUUUUCUCUGCUUAAAAAUUUUAAUUAUGGUCUUAAGUAAGGUUCUGCUGGUGGAAGAAUGUCACAGCAUGACACACAGUUUUAUGAUCUGCUGUUUUACAAGUGCUAUCGAGUGACCCUGUCUCAGCAAGUUUUUGAAACACUCCCUACCUACAAUUAGUCAUUAGUGAUGUUAGGGAUAUAUUGUUGCUGGUAAGCACAUUAAGAGAAUUUGUGGUACUAUGUAUGCAAUGAUUUAUAUGCCAAUUUAUAUGUGGCUCCCCUGCAAAACAAGAAUUUUCCAUGUUCCAAGCUAUUUUUCAUUGAAGUCUUUUUUAUUUUACAUUGCCAAAGUCACACUUUCUUUAGUUCUUUUGUAGGCAUUGGUGGUUUGGAUUAUGAUCUUUACUUCUGCUUGAUUCACUACAUGCAGAAUUCUUGCAAUGACGCAGUUCUGCAUACAAGAACUGCACUUGGUAUGUGGCAAGAAAACCUGUAUUAGAGUACACUGACACUAUUUUCUGCAGGAAGAAUAAUAGUUUAGUUAUCCUGUACUAGAAGCUGAGUUUGCAAACUUACAUGGUGCAGAAAGGGCUCAGGCAGAUAUUUGCAAUUAAAGUAAAUUUUCCUCGUCAGUGCUUCCUUUCUGCAUUAAAAUCUGUGAACUAGCAGUAACGAAUAUUUUUAUCCAUGGCCAAACCACAACAAAUUCUGUAGGAGGAGAACUUUAACUCUCUUAGAGAAGUCUCAUAAAGUCCUAUGCCAUCAUUAAGUUGUGUUCAAGCCUUUUUAUAAUGUUCAAUAUGUGAGUGCUUCCUAGUCAAGCAACUUAAGUUCUGAGGCCCACCUGCAACAUUUGCUAAAUGCAUAUAGCUAUAAGCCUGCUUAUUCCACAUUUUGUGGUAAUACUCUUAGCUGCAAUAAACAUGAAAUUAAUGCAGUAAGACUUGAACUGACAAAACCAGACCUGAACAAAGCAUUUUCUUACAGUUAUACCUUAUAGUCAGAUUGUGUCCACAUUACAAGUUAUACCCCUGAUAAGAUUACAGUGUUUUUUACUGCAUUUAUUCUUAAGAAACACCUUAGUCUCAGUAACUUAAAAUCCACCACUUGAUUUGCAACAUCAGAUACAAAAUUUUCUUAGUGUACAGGAAACUAAUCAGAUGGUUUUGUAAGAAAAUAAAUGGGCUGGUCUAAGUGCUAAAAUACAGAGUUAUAACGAGGCAGUCAACCACUCACACAACAGAGCCUCUCUUGCAUUGACCCCCAGUAAAAGAACAAGGAUUUCCUUAUCAGGAGUGAUAAAUGUAGUAGAACACGUGCCUUAUCAUUCUACCUUGCCUUUCAAUCUCUCUAACCAGUUUUCAGUGCUUACUGCAAUGUUAGGAGUUUAGUAACCAUAUUAGAAGAUGAGGUGAAUGGACUUAGCAUUCCUUCUUACUACGCAAGAUGCAGUCUGUGGCCUUGAAGGAAAAGAAAGGUCUCCCAGCCCUUGCAAUACCAUUAACAAAUGUCACUAUUUGACACUCUCACACAUAUUAAUUAAUAAAUAAAUCCAAUUCUUUUA